GGGCCGAUAGCUCAGUUGGUUAGAGCACACGGCUGAUAACCGUGAGGUCAGAGGUUCGACUCCUCUUCGGCCCACCA
rnacentral:tRNA from 1 species